rnacentral:rRNA from 1 species
GACGAACGCUGGCGGCGUGCUUAACACAUGCAAGUCGAACGGUAAGGCCCUUCGGGGUACACGAGUGGCGAACGGGUGAGUAACACGUGGGUGAUCUGCCCUGCACUUCGGGAUAAGCCUGGGAAACUGGGUCCAAUACCGGAUAGGACCACUGCCUGCAUGGGUGGUGGUGGAAAGCUUUUGCGGUGUGGAAUGGGCCCGCGGCCUAUCAGCUUGUUGGUGGGGUGAUGGCCUACCAAGGCGACGACGGGUAGCUGGUCUGAGAGGAUGAUCAGCCUCGAUGGGACUGAGACACGGCCCACACUCCUACGGGAGGCAGCAGUUGGGGAUUUUGCACAAUGGAGGAAACUCUGAUGCAGCGACACUGCGUGAAGGAAGAAGGUUUUCGGAUUGUAAACUUCUUUUAGUGGGGAGUAAUCUUGAAAGUACCCACUGAAUAAGGACCGGCUAACUACGUGCCAGCAGCCGCGGUAA